GAUGAACGCUAGCUACAGGCUUAACACAUGCAAGUCGAGGGGAAACGACAUUGAAAGCUUGCUUUCGAUGGGCGUCGACCGGCGCACGGGUGAGUAACGCGUAUCCAACCUGCCCAUCACUUGGGGAUAACCUUGCGAAAGUAAGACUAAUACCCAAUGACGUCUCUAGAAGACAUCUGAAAGAGAUUAAAGAUUUAUCGGUGAUGGAUGGGGAUGCGUCUGAUUAGCUUGUUGGCGGGGUAACGGCCCACCAAGGCGACGAUCAGUAGGGGUUCUGAGAGGAAGGUCCCCCACAUUGGAACUGAGACACGGUCCAAACUCCUACGGGAGGCAGCAGUGAGGAAUAUUGGUCAAUGGACGAGAGUCUGAACCAGCCAAGUAGCGUGCAGGAUGACGGCCCUAUGGGUUGUAAACUGCUUUUAUAAGGGAAUAAAGUGAGCCUCGUGAGGCUUUUUGCAUGUACCUUAUGAAUAAGGACCGGCUAAUUCCGUGCCAGCAGCCGCGGUAAUACGGAAGGUCCGGGCGUUAUCCGGAUUUAUUGGGUUUAAAGGGAGCGUAGGCCGGAGAUUAAGCGUGUUGUGAAAUGUAGAUGCUCAACAUCUGCACUGCAGCGCGAACUGGUUUCCUUGAGUACGCACAAAGUGGGCGGAAUUCGUGGUGUAGCGGUGAAAUGCUUAGAUAUCACGAAGAACUCCGAUUGCGAAGGCAGCUCACUGGAGCGCAACUGACGCUGAAGCUCGAAAGUGCGGGUAUCGAACAGGAUUAGAUACCCUGGUAGUCCGCACGGUAAACGAUGGAUGCCCGCUGUUGGUCUGAAUAGGUCAGCGGCCAAGCGAAAGCAUUAAGCAUCCCACCUGGGGAGUACGCCGGCAACGGUGCAACUC
rnacentral:rRNA from 1 species